AUGAGCCUCUCAAGUGCUGUGCAAUGGUGGGAGGAGUGGCAACUGCGCGUCCUCGUUCUCAGCAGCCUCUUUGUUCAGUGGCUCCUCUUCUUCUCUGCCAGCAUGCGUAAGCUCCCUAUUCCUUCCUUGUACAGAUACGGAAUAUGGAUGUCAUACCUGGGCAGCGAUGCUCUGGCCAUAUACGCCCUUGCCACCCUCUUCAACCGCCAGGGGAGGCAAGAUUGUAGCUCUGGGCAAGGCACUAGCAUUCUGGAGGUGGUAUGGGCACCGGUUCUCCUGAUCCACCUGGGAGGGCAGGACCUCAUAACUGCCUACAACAUUGAAGACAAUGAGCUAUGGACGCGACACAUCUUCACCUCUGUAUCUCAGGUCACCGUAGCCAUCUACGUGUUCUGCAAAUCAUGGCCAGGCGGCGACAUGAGGUUGUUGCUAGCAUCAAUCUGUUUAUUCGUCGUGGGGAUCCUCAAAUGCGUUGAGAAGCCCCAGGCUCUCAGGAGUGCUAGCAUUAACAGCCUAGUCAGCUCUUCUGGCCCUGCUCCGAGGAGGAACACAGACGGAGAAGGCGGGAUCAAUUCGCUUGAAGACUACGUGAAAAAAGCAAGGGCUUUUGUCCAGACCAACCCCCGUCAUCAAGCACAAGAAGGUGAUGUGGUUGACCUUGAGCCUGGCAACCAUCUUCCUCAAGCACAAGGAGAAGACGCUGCCAUGGCCGUUGAGGCCGACUAUCAGCCUCGAGCACAUGGAGAAGCUACCACCGUGGAUAUUCAGCCUGACCACCAUCCUCUGGCCUCGAGCACAUGGAGAAGCUGCCUAAACCAAAUAACAAGCCGUUACAACAAAAGCAUGGAAGAAAUACAAAGGCGAGUUGAUGACUAUGAUAUGACCCUUGAGGUCUAUAAGCUAUUUCUGGACCUUGCAUCAUCGUAUCAUGAUCGGCUUGCUAUCCUUGAAUUCAUCUGGGUACGUGACGGAAACCAAGCAUAUGGUUUGUUGCAAAAUAGGCUAUCCGGCGCGUUCGAUCUUCUCUACACCAAAAGAAAGAUGUUCAGCCUAAUGGAAAAAAGACGCAAGGAAAACUCAAUAUUCUGGGUUUUUCUUUCUGACUGCGUACGUGUAUCAGCUGCAUUUCUGCCAUGGGCAGCCAUCAGCCUCUUCCACAAGAGUCACAAAGAUGCUUAUAAUGCUAACGAUGUGAAGGUUACCUAUGCCUUGUUAUGUUGUACAGCAGUGCUGGAGAUUUGCUCUUCUUGCAUGACCAUGAGAGACCAAGGCUAUGCUGGUUCUGACCAAGGGGAAGCCAGUUCUGGUUCUGGGGUUGCUAAAUAUAAACAGGCAAGAAGAAAAGUUGUGCUGCAUUUAAGAGUAAUUGUUAUCUGGUUCCAGCGUCCACCGAUCAUGGACUGGCUCGCUAACCUUCUUAGGGCACUAAGACAGUUCAGCAGUAAGGCACUCUUAAAUAGCUUUGUGGGCCAAUAUAAUCUGGUAUGGUUCUUUGCAUGUUACAAAAGGCACUCCUCCUGUAAGAUGCUCAUCGGGGAAUUGUUUCACUGCAAGGACUUUAUUGACCAGUAUUGGGGGUCCAUGGCACCCUGCAACUCAACCGUUGCAAUUACAGAGUUGGUUCUGGAGUAUGCGAAGAAAGGGUGGGAAGAUCAAAUAAAAGAUGCUGACAGUUACUGUAAGUUCAAUGAUCGCAGGGGCUGGGGGACUCUUCAGGUCAACAAGUGUGACCAAGACCUGGGCUGCAGCUUAAGGAGACCAUUCGAUGAGAGUGUUCUUCUCUGGCACAUCGCCACAGAUUUCUGCUUUUACCACAUUGGCGCAUCAACAGAUCACCAAUGCGCCACUGCUCAGUGUAUUCAAGAUGCUUCUGGUGAGGGUCAUGGGUGUGCUGUUUGGUGUGAAAGAUCUCCUCAUCACAAAAGAGCCGUCCAGUGCAGAGAAAUCUCCAACUACAUGAUGUACCUACUCUUUAUCAAUCCUGAGAUGUUAUUGCCUGGCAGUAGGCGGAAUCUGUUCACAACUGCUAAUGUGGAUCUGGAGGAGAUCCUCAAGGAUGACAAUCCAUCGCUCAAAAAGAUCCUCAAGGACGGGCCUUCUCUCAUAGAGAUCUUGGGGAGAAAAGAUUCAAAUUACCGAAAUAUUUUGAAGAUCUGGUCCGACGCCAAAAUGAAAUGGCGUGAGGAGAUCAAUAGAGGACUUGUGCAAACAGUAAUCUCCAAGGUGCAGUCCACAGAACGCAGAGAAGUUGUCGCAUGCACAAAAUUGUCACCGAAUGCAGAGACAAUCUCCAAGAUGCAUCCCACAGAAUGCAUAGAGUUGUCAUCAGAUGCAGAGAUACUCGCCAAGGUGCAGCCCACAGAAUGCAGAGAGUUGUCACCGGGCGUGGAAACAUAUGCAACUACACAAGGUUUUAUCAUCGAUGCAUGGAAGCUUGCUGAAGCAUUGUUGGAUUUUGGUGAUGAGAAGAAGAUGUGGGAGGUGAUUGAAGGCGUGUGGGUGGAGAUGCUCUGCUUCUCGGCCAGUAGGUGCCGAGGGUACCUACAUGCCAAGAGUCUGGGCACUGGUGGGGAGCUACUCACAUAUAUCUGGCUCCUGCUGUCGCACAUGGGGAUGGAGACCUUGCCGGAGAGGCUGCAGAGGGCGGAGUUUUCAAGUGAAGAAGGAAAUGCCGGUGCCUCUUCAUCGACUUCCCAGACAUCUGGGGGCGAAGAUCCACCACCCUUCAGGCACUCAAGUCCUCAUGAAGCUGCUGCUGAUGGUGGUGGUGCAUCUACGUCUCGGCCUCAAGAAAUAGUACCAGCUGAAUAA
rnacentral:rRNA from 1 species